ACGGAAGGCAGCAGUGAGGAAUAUUGGUCAAUGGGCGGAAGCCUGAACCAGCCAAGUCGCGUGAGGGAGGAAGGUCCUACGGAUUGUAAACCUCUUUAGCCGGGGAGCAAUAAGCGCUAUGUAUAGCGUGAUGAGAGUACCCGGAGAAUAAGGAUCGGCUAACUCCGUGCCAGCAGCCGCGGUAAUACGGAGGAUCCGAGCGUUAUCCGGAUUUAUUGGGUUUAAAGGGUGCGCAGGCGGUCGAUUAAGUCAGUGGUCAAAUCACAGUGCUCAACGCCGUUCCGCCAUUGAUACUGGUUGACUUGAGUCCGGUCGAGGCAGGCGGAAUUCGUAGUGUAGCGGUGAAAUGCAUAGAUAUUACGAAGAACUCCGAUUGCGUAGGCAGCUUACCAGGCCGGCAAUGACGCUCAUGCACGAAAGUGCGGGGAUCGAACAGGAUUAGAUACCCUGGUA
rnacentral:rRNA from 1 species